rnacentral:rRNA from 1 species
AUCUUUAUAAAUUUACUAUUAAAUCCACCUUCAAAUAUUUUUUCAUAAUAUUAUUCGUUUAAAUAAAUUUAAUGUAAUUCAUUUCUACUUAAAUAUAAGCUACACCUUGAUCUGAAAUAAAAUUUAUUUAAAUUUUAAGAAAAUUAUUAUUCUUUUAAAAUAUUCUGAUAACGACGGUAUAUAAACUGAUUACAAAUUUAAGUAAGGUCCAUCGUGGAUUAUCAAUUACAGAACAAAUUCCUCUAAAUAGACUAAAAUACCGCCAAAUUUUUUAAGUUUCAAGAACAUAACUAUUAC